rnacentral:lncRNA from 1 species
AGGUCCGCAACGGCUGCGGGGACAAGACCGUUGAGGCUGCCAGGCGAGUCAGGCCUUUCUGGACCUCGCCUGACUCGGCUGGGCUGUGCCUGAAAUUGACCCAGCUCUAUCAGGGAUUAUGAAAAAACAAGGAGUAAGCCCGAAGCCGCUGCAGUCUUCCCGCCCCAGCCAGUCUAAGCGGCGGUGCGGGCCUCCCCCUUCCCCCCCGCCUCCGCCCCGGAGCCGGAGGUAGAGGAGGUGGAAAAGUCGGCCCUAGGCGGCGGGAGGUCCUUCCGGCGGAGGAUCCGAAAUGUGGAAAAUCGAAAAGGCUUGGAGCUAAAGGUGGUGGCCAAGACCCUUCUUCUCGGCCCCUUCCUGUUGGUCCGUAAUUCCCUGGCGCAGCUCCGGGAAGAGGUGCACGAACUGCAGGCGUGGUGGUUCCCCAGCAGAACCACUUUGGACUUCGGUAAGGAGAGGGCAGGAGAGCUCCAGGAGGUAGCCGCAUGGCGCUUUUCUUGAGUCUUGAAGGAGAUCAGUUUAACAAGCAAGGGUUUGUGGGUGCCUAGUAGGAAAUAAAAGCAAGGUCCGAAUAGAAAGAAGUUGGCCAAAAAUCUUGUCAUUGAACCAGGGGAGAGAGAGAGAUAGGGAGUAUAUUGGUCUGAAGGGCUGUCAGAUCGCAGAGAGUGUUUUAAGGUCUAGGAGUUUUAAAGGCUGAGGGGAAGGAUCAAGGGAAGAGGAUCAGAUUAAGAUUCCAAGAGAGGAAAUAAUUAGUGGAGCAAGUCUUGGAAUAUUUGGAGGGGUAGAAUUAAAGGCACAAAUUUGAGAAGCUAACUGUGGAAAAGAGGAGAGAGAAUUCCUUUUCUGAGAUGGCAGGGAGUAGAAAAGCGAGGAUUACUAUAUGGAGAAAUGUUAAAGUGGAGAUAAAAGAAGUUGGGAGUGCUGGCGUCUAAUGGUCUUUGUUUCAGUGAAGUAUGAGGCUGGGUCACCUUCAGAGGUGAGACUGAUAGGAUGCCGGGGUCCAGGGGACAUGCUUCUGUCACAGCUUGGAAAGGGCAUGUGAUAAGCCCUUCAAGCAUUUAGAAUACUGGCAUCGUUGCAACAUAUCAUUUUUUUCAGAUGUGGUAUGUGGGUUAAGGGAGGGAGUGAGAGACACAGAAAGAUUUUGAGCAUCUUUGGAAAGCUGGAUGAAUUUGGUAGUAUAUUUGACCUUUUCCUUAUAUAUCAUCUGAAGAGUUUUUGCCAGUGUAUAUAAUUGUUAGGAGAAUUAGAAAUAGGAUACAAAUAUAGUUGAACAGGAUAGUCUCUGUAUAUUUUAAAAUUAAUGAAGCCUAAUAAACAGUUAAUGAGCAUCUUUACAACCAUUUAAAGUUUUCAACCUUUUAAAAAUUAUAGCAACCGUGCUUGCAGACAGUCCAAAAAUACACCAUGGGCCAUACUUUGCCUAUCCUGGUAUAAAACAAGUAAAUCUUCCAAGAAGUAUUUAAGAUAAGCCCAGGACAGUUAGUAAUAUAGGAAAAGAUCUGGGUAAGCAUGGUUGACAAUUUCAACAUUGCAAUUUUUUAAUUUUUAAAAAUUUAAUUUCUUCAAUAAUUAUUGAAUUAAUUUGCAUUUAUUUUGUUAGCCAAGUGAAGUAAUUUUUGAAUUUUUAAGAGGCUAUUAUUGGUGGUUUGUAAGAUGACUUGCCAAGUAUAUUUGGGAUAACCAUAAGAAAUACCAUUAUAAAAUCUCAGAAGGGAGGUAGGACUUCUGGAAUAGCCAAGGAAAUGCACUCCUCCAUGACGACAAUGAAAAUACUUGGAAAAUUAUCAAAAUCAUUUUCUUCAAAACUUUGGAAAUUAACCAAAGGUUUACAACAAUCUAAAGGGCAUUAAUUCAAGAAAAGCUGCUGAACCUCUAUAAGAAUAGCAAAGUUUGUGGUGUUUUAACUUGUUCUAUUCCCCACUCUUCUCUCUCCAGGGGAAUUGAAAACAAGCAAUUCCCCAACCAAACAGGGGCACAGGCUGCGUUUGCAGCUCCUGUAAAAGCUCCAUACCCAGAGCAGUGUCUCCCAGCUCCCAGGUGAAGUCUUAUGUAUACAUGGGGCGUUGGCACAGGUGACUCCAGACUAGUCUCCUAGGCCAUCUAGUAGCUUCUAGGUCUCGGCUCUUGUAAAGAGCUUGCAAUUCAUCAAGGGUUGAGCUGCACAUUGGGGCUUUUAGAUGUGCUGCUGAGGAAGUGAUUUCCUGCAUUUAAUCAUCUUCUGAUGAAUGCUAGAGAAACUGAUCUAGAGUGGCUCCUCUUGGUUAGAACUAGCUGAAGCAUACUGUAUAUACUUACUUCUUUUAAAAAUUUCAUAUAAAGGAAUAGAAAAUAAUACUG